CCUACGGGAGGCAGCAGUAGGGAAUCUUCCACAAUGGACGAAAGUCUGAUGGAGCAACGCCGCGUGAGUGAAGCAGGGUUUCGGCUCGUAAAGCUCUGUUGGUAGUGAAGAAAGAUAGAGGUAGUAACUGGCCUUUAUUUGACGGUAAUUACUUAGAAAGUCACGGCUAACUACGUGCCAGCAGCCGCGGUAAUACUUAGGUGGCAAGCGGUGUCCGGUUUUUUUGGGCGUAAAGCGAGUGCAGGCGGUUCAAUAAGUCUGAUGUGAAAGCAUUUGGCUCAACCGGCGAUUUGCAUCAGAAACUGUUGAACUUGAGUGCAGAAGAGGAGAGGGGAAAUCCAUGGGGAGCGGGGGAAUGCGUAGAUAUAUGGAAGAAAACCAGAGGCGGAGGCGGCUCUCUGGUUGGCAAAUGACGCUGAGGCUCGAAAGCAUGGGUAGCGAACAGGAUUAGAUACCCCUGGAGUU
rnacentral:rRNA from 1 species